CAGUAGCCGCGGUAAUACGAAGGGUGCAAGCGUUAAUCGGAAUUACCGGGCGUAAAGCGUGCGUAGGCGGUGAGUUAAGUCUGCUGUGAAAUCCCCGGGCUCAACCUGGGAAUGGCAGUGGAUACUGGCUCGCUAGAGUGUGUCAGAGGAUGGUGGAAUUCCCGGUGUAGCGGUGAAAUGCGUAGAGAUCGGGAGGAACAUCAGUGGCGAAGGCGGCCAUCUGGGACAACACUGACGCUGAGGCACGAAAGCGUGGGGAGCAAACAGGAUUAGAUACCCCUGUAGUCCCUGUCUCUUAUAA
rnacentral:rRNA from 1 species